rnacentral:rRNA from 1 species
CCUACGGGUGGCAGCAGUGGGGAAUAUUGCUCAAUGGGGGAAACCCUGAUGCAGCAACGCCGCGUGGAUGAAGAAGGUUUUCGGAGUGUAAACUCCUUUUGGCAGAGAAGAUAAUGACGGUAUCUAACCACUAAGCCCCGGCUAACUCCGUGCCAGCAGCCGCGGUAAUACGGAGGGUGCAAGCGUUAACCGGAAUUACUGGGCGUAACGAGCGCGCAGGCGGGAUUGCAAGUCAGCUGUGAAAUCCCGGGGCUUAACCGUGGAACUGCAUUUGGAACUGUGAGGCUAGAGUACGGGAGGGGUAGGUGGAAUUCUUAGUGUAGGGGUGAAAUGCGUAGAGAUCAGGAGGAAUAC